GUCGAGCGGUAAGGCUCCUUCGGGAGUACACGAGCGGCGAACGGGUGAGUAACACGUGAGCAAUCUGCCCUUCACAUCGGGAUAACCCCCGGAAACGGGAGCUAAUACCGGAUACGACCACUUCAGGCAUCUGAUGGUGGUGGAAAGUUCUGGCGGUGAAGGAUGAGCUCGCGGCCUAUCAGCUUGUUGGUGAGGUAAUGGCCCACCAAGGCUUCGACGGGUAGCCGGCCUGAGAGGGUGACCGGCCACACUGGGACUGAGACACGGCCCAGACUCCUACGGGAGGCAGCAGUGGGGAAUAUUGGACAAUGGGCGAAAGCCUGAUCCAGCAACGCCGCGUGAGGGAUGACGGCCUUCGGGUUGUAAACCUCUUUCAGCGCAGACGAAGCGAAAGUGACGGUAUGCGCAGAAGAAGCACCGGCCAACUACGUGCCAGCAGCCGCG
rnacentral:rRNA from 1 species